AGCGGGAGGUCUGCGCGGUGUGUCCAGUCUUCUCGGCGCGGACGGGAUUCCCGUGGACCUUCGGCCGAAGGGGCGACGCGCGACACAAAAAGCAUCCGUGGAGCUCAAGUUUGAGGUGAAAGCAGGCUCAGAGUCCACCUGUCCUCGCUGAUCCAUGGAUUUCUGUGUGACCAGGUCCCGGGCUGGACAGAGAGUGACUCUACUGGGAGCCGUGCCAUGAGACCCAGGGCGUCACCCACCUGGGCUCCCUCACCCUGGACGGGGACAGCCUCUACGUCAGUGAUUACACCUAUGGAGCCGCAGC